ensembl:rRNA 5S_rRNA 5S ribosomal RNA
GCUUAUGGCCAUACCACUCUGAAUGUUCUCAAUGUUGUCUGAUCUUGGAAGCUAAGCAAGACUUGGGCCUGGUUAGUAGUAAGAUGAGAGAUCCCCUGGGAAUAUUGGGUGCUGUAGGCU